UUUGGGAGUUUAUGAAAUUCUGUGUUUGGUGGAUCAGUAAAAGCUCUUUAUUUUGCUUCUUCUGAGUUUUCUGAAUUUGGUGUUAAUGGUGAAAGAGAGAGAUUUUGUAAGAGGCUGUGGAUGGAUGGAUGACCACUCUUUUCUCUUUCUUUAGGAGAUGUGGAAAAAGAAAUAGGAUUAGGAUAGAGAGAGUCUGUAGAGAAGGGAGCGUAAUUUGUUUUCUUUAUUUUUUAAUAUAACAAUCAAACACUCUUUUCUUUCUUCAGCCACCACUGACCAGUCUAAAGACAGUACAGUGAGCUUGGUGUGUGUAUUGCAGUCU